rnacentral:rRNA from 1 species
AUACGUAGGUGGCAAGCGUUGUCCGGAUUUACUGGGUGUAAAGGGUGCGUAGGCGGGGCAGCAAGUUGGAUGUGAAAUCCUCGGGCUCAACUCGAGAACUGCAUUCAAAACUGUUGCUCUUGAGUGCAGUAGAGGCAAGCGGAAUUCCCGGUGUAGCGGUGAAAUGCGCAGAGAUCGGGAGGAACACCAGUGGCGAAGGCGGCUUGCUUGGCUGUUACUGACGCUGAGGCACGAAAGCAUGGGUAGCAAACAGGAUUAGAUACCCUGGUAGUCCAUGCUGUAAACGAUGAUUACUAGGUGUGGGUGGACUGACCCCAUCCGUGCCGGAGUUAACACAUUAAGUAAUCCACCUGGGGAGUACGGCCGCAAGGUUGAAACUCAAAUGAAUUGACGGGG